CAGGCUAUCAGCUGGUAUACAG
rnacentral:miRNA from 1 species